GCUGCUUGGGAAACGAACAUUAGUUCUACUGAAAAUCUUUCUAACCCCCCCCACAACAAAGGAUAAGGAAAAAUUUUCAAGUUACUUAAUAGAGGUACAGCUCUAUUAACACAGGACUCAACCUCCGCUUAAGGGUAAUCUAUCUUUAUAAUUUACUGUAGGCCUUAAAGCAGCCACCACAAAAAAGCGUCAAAGCUUCCCCCUUAAAGAUCCCAACAACACCUCGAACCCUUCAUUAUCCACCAAGCCCAUCUAUAAUAUUAGAAAAGACAAUGCUAAAAUAAGUAAUAAGAAAAUGACCUUCUCUUUGGCGUCAACUUACAUCCUGCCUGACACCCUACAAAUUAUUAACAGCCACCUCCCCACAACCACCACGAGGUCAAAAGAAGACCUCAUCUGUUAACCCAACACAGGAGCGCCAAAAGAAAGGCUGAACCUUGCAAAAGGAACUCGGCAAGCAAAGAUUCCGACUGUUUACCAAAAACAUAGCCCUCUAGCCCAUUUAGUAUUGAGGGUGAUACCUGCCCAAUGACUACAGGUUGAAUGGCCGCGGUAUUUAUA
rnacentral:rRNA from 1 species